UCCAGAUAUAUAUGGGGCUCACUGCCAAUAACCAGUGACGGUCACACCAGUAUAGCCAAUAUAGCCAUGUACAGUUCUUGGACACCCCACUUAAUUUCUUUCGCCCUUCUGGUUCUCGCGUCGAUGUUAUUGCACAAUUGCUGUUUUAUUUUCUAUUCUACGUAUGUGCCCUGUCCACUUCCAGUCUUCUAUCGUAGUCUGUCAAGAUAUGAUGGUCUGGAAAACCGGCAAAUCUGGAAGACCUUUGCUAAGGGCACAAAAUAGAAGUCCUUCGUUUGAUGCUGAACUUUACCUCGUCGUCUUGCACAAAUCCUUUGUCUCAACUUUAAUUUUAUUUAUCGUGGUUGCACGUUUUAUCUCAGCUAUCCUUAUUGGACAAUUACUUUAUUAUACAAAAAUACAAUGAGCUCAAUCACUAUGACCGUGCACAAACAAAAAGAAAAUACAAAAACAUAAUACAAUGACUUCUGUUUAGUUUUCAGACCAUCAUAUCUUGAUAGCCGACUAUGCUUCCCAGGGACGCCGAAACUGGGAGGGCAGGAGGGGCAGCCGCCCCCAUUGCCCUUUAGGGGGGCAAAGGUGCCCUUUCAAUUUAAAAGAUUGCCUUGGCGAAAUAGCGAAUUGUCAGAAAUGUUAGUGCAAUUCUUUUACGAAUUUGCUUUAGAAAACGCAAGAAAUGCAGUCAUCGAGCUUUAAGAAUAGC